ACGUAGGGUGCGAGCGUUAAUCGGAAUUACUGGGCGUAAAGCGUGCGCAGGCGGUCUCGUAAGCUGGGUGUGAAAGCCCCGGGCUUAACCUGGGAAUGGCAUUCAGGACUGCGAGGCUCGAGUGUGGCAGAGGGAGGUGGAAUUCCACGUGUAGCAGUGAAAUGCGUAGAGAUGUGGAGGAACACCGAUGGCGAAGGCAGCCUCCUGGGCCAGCACUGACGCUCAUGCACGAAAGCGUGGGGAGCAAACAGGAUUAGAUACCCUGGUAGUCCACGCCCUAAACGAUGUCAACUGGUUGUUGGUGGGGUUAAACCCAUUAGUAACGAAGCUAACGCGUGAAGUUGACCGCCUGGGGAGUACGGCCGCAAGGUUA
rnacentral:rRNA from 1 species